rnacentral:rRNA from 1 species
UAGGGAAUCUUCCACAAUGGACGCAAGUCUGAUGGAGCAACGCCGCGUGAGUGAAGAAGGUUUUCGGAUCGUAAAGCUCUGUUGUUGGUGAAGAAGGAUAGAGGUAGUAACUGGCCUUUAUUUGACGGUAAUCAACCAGAAAGUCACGGCUAACUACGUGCCAGCAGCCGCGGUAAUACGUAGGUGGCAAGCGUUGUCCGGAUUUAUUGGUCGUAAAGCGAGCGCAGGCGGAAGAAUAAGUCUGAUGUGAAAGCCCUCGGCUUAACCGAGGAACUGCAUCGGAAACUGUUUUUCUUGAGUGCAGAAGAGGAGAGUGGAAUUCCAUGUGUAGCGGUGGAAUGCGUAGAUAUAUGGAAGAACACCAGUGGCGAAGGCGACUCUCUGGUCUGCAACUGACGCUGAGGCUCGAAAGCAUGGGUAGCGAACAGG